rnacentral:tRNA from 1 species
GCUGAGGUAGUUCAGUGGUAGAACACCACCUUGCCAAGGUGGGGGUCGCGAGUUCAGAUCUCGUCUUCCGCUCCA